rnacentral:rRNA from 1 species
AGUAACACGUGGAUAACCUACCUAUAAGACUGGGAUAACUUCGGGAAACCGGAGCUAAUACCGGAUAAUAUUUUGAACAGCAUGGUUCAAAAGUGAAAGACGGUCUUGCUGUCACUUAUAGAUGGAUCCGCGCUGCAUUAGCUAGUUGGUAAGGUAACGGCUUACCAAGGCAACGAUGCAUAGCCGACCUGAGAGGGUGAUCGGCCACACUGGAACUGAGACACGGUCCAG